UACCAGCACCCCGAGUGGUCGGGACGAUUAUUGGGCCUAAAGCAUCCGUAGCCGGUUCUACAAGUCUUCCGUUAAAUCCACCUGCUUAACAGAUGGGCUGCGGAGGAUACUAUAGAGCUAGGAGGCGGGAGAGGCAAACGGUACUCAGUGGGUAGGGGUAAAAUCCGUUGAUCCAUUGAAGACCACCAGUGGCGAAGGCGGCUUGCCAGAAUGCGCUCGACGGUGAGGGAUGAAAGCUGGGGGGAGCAAACCGG
rnacentral:rRNA from 1 species